rnacentral:misc_RNA from 1 species
AAGUCGUAACGAGGUUUCCGUAGGUGAACCUGCGGAAGGAUCAUUAAUGAGUUAGGGUCUCCGGGCCCGACCUCCAACCCUUUGUUGUCACAAAACCAAUUGUUGCUUUGGCGUGGACCGCCCGCGAGGGCUGCCGGUCUUAGGCCCGGCAUGCGCCCGCCAGAGGAAAACCAAACUCUUGUUUAUCAAACCGUACGUCUGAGUAAAAUGAUUAAAUCAAUCAAAA